rnacentral:rRNA from 1 species
AUACGAGGGGUGCAAGCGUUAAUCGGAAUUACUGGGCGUAAAGCGUUCGUAGGCGGUUUGUUAAGCAUGAUGUGAAAGCCCUGGGCUCAACCUGGGAACUGCAUUUUGAACUGGCAAGCUAGAAUACUGUAGAGGGUGGUGGAAUUUCCAGUGUAGCGGUGAAAUGCGUAGAGAUUGGAAGGAACAUCAGUGGCGAAGGCGGCCACCUGGACAGAUAUUGACGCUGAGGAAUGAAAGCGUGGGGAGCGAACAGGAUUAGAAACCCCGGUAGUCC